rnacentral:lncRNA from 1 species
UUCCUCUAAUUAUCUUACUCCUGUUUGUUUUCUUUGUUGACUGCAGAUCUAUAAUUUCCAAGUGCCUGUGGCUCAACCACAAGCAUCCCAAGCACAUAUUAAAAAGUCUACAGAUAAUAUCUCCGACACUAACAAUGUAUUUUAAUGUCAUUUAUUAAGAGGUGGGCCAGAACCCAGGCUUCUACCUGUUGAUUUACUGCGCUUUCUUCUAGAGCAGCCUGCUGAGAAUUCCACCAGCUUAUUUAACAGAGUCCAUGGAAUACGUGAAAAGACCAAAUCCAGUUCUGGGAGCAAAUACAGCAAUGUCUGGAAGCACUGACGCAAUCACCAUCUUGGGAAUUAGAAACAAAUGGCAGCGUUCUUUUCUAUUUACUUAUGUUCUUGUAUAUUCCAUCAUUUCCAGGAAGGCUUAUAAUCCAAGGAUUCCCAUAUGGCUUUAUUUUUGUUAGUUAUGUUGUAAUGCCAUGCCAGAGUUUUAAAUUUAAAUUUUGGAGCCAGCCACCAAAUUUGAAAAAAAAAACUAUUUUAAAAACACCAUUUGGGCUUCUCCAACACUGCAGAGGCAGCUUGACAGCAGUUAGUCUUCCUCACCUUUCCUUUCUUCCUGCGUUCUCCUCAGAGAGCUGCAUUGGACUGACGCUUCUGACUCACUUUCCUGGAACUGUUCGAAAGGCAUCACAUAAAAGCUUCAAGAUAUCAGUCGCCAAAAGGGAAGAAGAUUUUGAGAAUGGAUCAGAAUUGGAGUAGCCAGAAAAGAAAACUGAUUCAGGAGUCUUAACUGAAGGGAAGAGAGUGGUUGGAAUUACAAGCCUUAGGAUAGCAGGUAAAUAGUGAAUAAGUAAAUCUUGGAGGUUGUUGAAUUGAGAAAGAAAGGCUGGAGAUGAAAACAUGGGAAGAUUUCAAAAGGAAGUUUGAGUAGGAUAGGGGAUAUCAAUAAGUGGAACAAUGGAAAGGUGUAGUAACAUUGUGGAAUGUUAGAAUUUUAGAUCUUUGUAAAUUGUUAAGAUUAUGGUAAAAAAGAGUAUGAGUCCAAAACUCGUAAACAUGUCUUAGCGUUUCCCAUCAAUCUUUACAUCAAUAAGGUCUAAUUUGAUUAAAACCCUAUCUCUGUAGGAAC